rnacentral:lncRNA from 1 species
GUGAAUCACAGGUCGGCGGGAGCCUUUUUUCCUUUUUUUUUUUUUUUUUUUCCGGGGAGUCGGCCUCGGGGCUCUGCUCUCCUACCUCAGUCUGCCCUACACUGGAAUGGGGAAAAUGCGGACAUGCUACUCAGUCCGGCCGCGAACAGUGCUCCAGAACUCAGAGAGUUUUCCAGACGGGUGGAGAUCGCGUUCCCUGCCCGCGGAGGUCCCAUCGCUUCCCUACUGGGAAGACAAAUGAGGCGCUUUAGCCGUCUCCACGGCCAGCCCCUCCCUCAUAACCCGAGAUUCCUUGUGGGCUCUUAGUCCAUAACUGCCUUUGAGGUGGUGUAGACCUUGCUAACCAGGACGGCCCAGUAGGCAGAGCUCAUUUUUAUUCCUGUCUGCAAUCGUGCAAAAACGCCUCUUAUGGAAGAGGCAGAGCGCCAGGAGUCAGCAAAACACACUAAAGAUUGGGCAGACACUGGGGAGAACACUCAGCCCGCCUGCACCCAGGUGAAAUAUACAGCCUUGUUGCUCACACAAAGCCUAUUUGGUGGUUUCUUCACACAGACGCAUGUGACAUUUGGUGCUGAAGACCCAGGACAGGAGGACUCCUUUGGGAGACCAGUCCCCUGUUAUCGCCCUCACUCCGUGAGGAGAUCCACCUAUGAUCUCAGGUCCUCAGACCAACCAGCCCAAGGAACAUCUCACCAAUUUCAAAUAGGGUAAGUGAAUCUGCAGAGAAGCUUCCUCUAAUCUCCAGCCUGAGAGUUCAGACCUGGUUACCAGCAUUCUAGAAGCUGAAAGAGGAGAAGUUCUUGGAAGACUAAGAAGUCCAACAUUCAAUGGCACACCAGGAGAUUAUAUCCCACACCUGGCUCGGAGGAUCCUACGCCCAUGGAGCCUCGCUCAUUGCUAGCACAGCAGCUGAGAUCAAACUGCAAGGUGGCAGCGAGGCUGGGGGCAGGGCGCCCACCAUUGCCGAGGCUUGAGUAGGUAAACAAAGCGGCUGGAAAGCUCGAACUGGGUGGAGCCCACCCCAGAUCAAGGAGGCCCACCUGCCCCUGUAGACUCCACCUCUGGGGGCAGGGCAUAGCCAAACAAAGGCAGCAGAAACUUCUGCAGACUUAAAUGUCCCUAUCUGACAGCUUUGAAGAGAGUAGUGGUUCUCCCAGCAUGCAGCUUGAGAUCUGAGAACGGACAGACUGCCUCCUCAAGUGGGUCCCUGACCCACGAGUUGCCUAACUGGGAGGCAUCUCCCAGUAGGGACAGACUGACACCUCACACGGCCGGGUACUCCUCUGAGACAAAACUUCCAGAGGAACGAUCAGGCAGCAACAUUUGCUGUUCACCAAUAUCUGCUGUUCUGCAGCCUCCGCUGCUGAUACCCAGGGAAACAGGGUCUGGAGUGGACCUCCAGCAAACUCCAACAGACCUGCAGCUGAGGGUCCUGACUGUUAGAAGGAAAACUAACAAACAGAUAGGACAUCCACACCAAAACCCCAUCUGUACGUCACCAUCAUCAAAGACCAAAGGUAGAUAAAACCACAAAGAUGGGGAAAAAACAGCAGAAAAACUGGAAACUCUAAAAAUCGGAGCACCUCUCCUCCUCGAAAGGAAUGCAGCUCCUCACCAGCAAUGGAACAAAGCUGGAUGGAGAAUGACUUUGACGAGUUGAGAGAAGAAGGCUUCAGAUGAUCAAACUAGUCCGAGCUAAAGGAGGAAGUUCGAACCCAUGGCAAAGAAGUUAAAAACCUUGAAAAAAAAUUAGAUGAAUGGCUAACUAGAAUAACCAAUGCAGAGAAGUCCUUAAAGGACCUGAAGGAGCUGAAAACCACAGCACGAGAAGUACAUGACAAAUGCAAAAGCCUCAGUAGCCGAUUCGAUCAACUGGAAGAAAGGGUAUCAGUGAUAGAAGAUCAAAUGAAUGAAAUGAAGUGAGAAGAGAAGUUUAGAGAAAAAAGAAUAAAAAGAAACAAACAAAGCCUCCAAGAAAUAUGGGACUAUAUGAAAAGACCAAAUCUACGUCUGAUUGGUGUACCUGAAAGUGACGGGGAGAAUGGAACCAAGUUGGAAAACACUCUGCAGGAUAUUAUCCAGGAGAACUUCCCCAAUCUAGCAAGGCAGGCCAACAUUCAGAUUCAGGAAAUACAGAGAACGCCACAAAGAUACUCCUUGAGAAGAGCAACUCCAAGACACAUAAUUGUCAGAUUCACCAAAGUUGAAAUGAAGGAAAAAAUGUUAAGGGCAGGCAGAGAGAAAGGUUGGGUCACCCACAAAGGGAAGCCCAUCAGACUAACAGCUGAUCUCUCAGCAGAAACUCUACAAGCCGGAAGGGAGUGGGGGCCAAUAUUCAACAUUCUUAAAGAAAAGCAUUUUCAACCCAGAAUUUCAUAUCCAGCCAAACUAAGCUUCAUAAGUGAAGGAGAAAUAAAAUCCUUUACAGACAAGCAAAUGCUUAGAGAUUUUGUCACCACCAGGCCUGCCCUAAAAGAGCUCCUGAAGGAAGCAUUAAACAUGGAAAGGAACAACCGGUACCAGCCACUGCAAAAACAUGCCAAAUGGUAAAGACCAUUGAGGCUAGGAAGAAACUGUAUCAACUAAUGAGCAAAAUAACCAGCUAACAUCAUAAUGACAGGAUCAAAUUCACACAUAACAAUAUUAGCCUUAAAUGUAAAUGGGCUAAAUGCCCCAAUUAAAAGACACAGACUGGCAAAUUGGAUAAAGAGUCAAGACCCAUCAGUGUGCUGUAUUCAGGAAACCCAUCUCACAUGCAGAGACACACAUAGGCUCAAAAUAAAGGGAUGCAGGAAGAUCUACCAAGCAAAUGGAAAACAAAAAAAGGCAGGGGUUGCAAUCCCAGUCUCUGACAAAACAGACUUUAAACCAACAAAGAUCAAAAGAGACAAAGAAGGCCAUUACAUAAUGGUAAAGGGAUCAAUUCAACAAGAAGAGCUAACUAUCCUAAAUAUAUAUGCACCCAAUACAGGAGCACCCAGAUUCAUAAAGCAAGUCCUUAGAGACCUACAACGAGACUUAGACUCCCACACAAUAAUAAUGGGAGACUUUAACACCCCACUGUCAACAUUAGACAGAUCAACGAGACAGAAAGCUAACGAGGAUAUCCAGGAAUUGAACUCAGCUCUGCACCAAGCACACCUAAUAGACAUCUACAGAACUCUCCACCCCAAAUCAACAGAAUAUACAUUCUUUUCAGCACCACACCACACCUAUCCCAAAAUUGACCACAUAGUUGGAAGUAAAGCACUCCUCAGCAAAUGUAAAAGAACGGAAAUUAUAACAAACUGUCUCUCAGACCACAGUGCAAUCAACCUAGAACUCAGGAUUAAGAAACUCACUCAAAACCGCUCAACUACAUGGAAACUGAACAACCUGCUCCUGAAUGACUACUGGGUAUAUAACAAAAUGAAGGCAGAAAUAAAGAUGUUAUUUGAAACCAACAAGAACAAAGACACAACAUACCAGAAUCUCUGGAACACAUUCAAAGCAGUGUGUAGAGGGAAAUUUAUAGCACUAAAUGCCCACAAGAGAAAGCAGGAAAGAUCUAAAAUUGACACUCUAACAUCACAAUUAAACGAACUAGAGAAGCAAGAGCAAACACAUUCAAAAAGCUAGCAGAAGGCAAGAAAUAAGAUCAGAGCAGAACUGAAGGAAAUAGAGACACAAAAAACCCUUCAAAAAAUCAAUGAAUCCAGGAGCUGGUUUUUUGAAAAGAUCAACAAAAUUGAUAGACCGCUAGCAAGACUAAUAAAGAAGAAGAGAGAGAAGAAUCAAA